UACGUAGGGUGCGAGCGUUUGUCCGGAAUUAUUGGGCGUAAAGGGCUCGUAGGCGGUCUGUCACGUCGGGAGUGAAAACUCAGGGCUUAACCCUGAGCCUGCUUCCGAUACGGGCAGACUAGAGGUAUGCAGGGGAGAACGGAAUUCCUGGUGUAGCGGUGAAAUGCGCAGAUAUCAGGAAGAACACCAAUGGCGAAAGCAGCUCUCUGGGACGGUACUGACGCUGAGACGCGAAAGCGUGGGGAGCGAACAGG
rnacentral:rRNA from 1 species